rnacentral:rRNA from 1 species
AUGGAUCAAGCUACUAAGGGCACACGGGGGAUGCCUUGGCGCUAGAAGCCGAACAAGGGCGUAGUGAGACUGCGAUAAGCCACGGUCAGCCGUCUGGCAGGCUAAGCCGUGGAUUCCCGAGUGGGGAAACCCGGGGCCGCGCGUUCGCGCGCGGUUCCAUCUCUUAUGAGAGGGUAAGCGGGGGAACUGAAACAUCUAAGUACCCCGAGGAAAGGAAAUCAACCGAGACUCCCUUAGUAGCGGCGAGCGAAAAGGGAAGAGCCCAAACCGGGUGUGACUAAACGGCUCAGGAGCUUACGUCACACGGGUGUUGUAGGGCUUGAUCUGGGGGCUACCUGAGGCUCCCGGGGAGUUACAAAGCGCGACGAUAGCUGAGCAGCACUGGAAAGUCUGGUCACAGAGGGUGAUAGCCCCGUAGGCGAAAUUGUCGUGCCUCCUUGAUCGAGUACCUGAGUACGGCGGGACACGUGAAAUCCUGUCGGAAUCUGGGGAGACCACUCUCCAAGGCUAAGUACUUCUAGCGACCGAUAGCGAACCAGUACCGUGAGGGAAAGGUGAAAAGCACCCCAAGCAGGGGAGUGAAAGAGAACUGAAACCGUGUGCCUACAAACCGUUGGAGUCUGCCUACGGGCGGAUGACAGCGUGCCUAUUGAAGAAUGAGCCAGCGAGUUACUUUGCGUGGCGAGGUUAAGGCGUUUAGCGCCGUAGCCGAAGCGAAAGCGAGUCUGAACAGGGCGUUCAGUCGCGUUGAGUAGACCCGAAACCGUGUGAGCUACCCAUGGCCAGGCUGAAGCGAAAGUAACAUUUCGUGAAGGGCCGAACCCGUUUACGUUGCAAAGUGAUGGGAUGAGCUGUGGGUAGGGGUAAAAUGCCAAACGAACACGGAGAUAGCUGGUUCUCCCCGAAAUGCAUUUAGGUGCAGCGUCAGGAAAAUACUUCGCGGAGGUAGGGCUCUGAUUGGGCUAGGGGGUGAAGAACUUACCAAACCCUGUCAAACUUCGAAUACCGCGAAGGGUACCCUGGCAGUGAGACAGUGAAGGAUAAGCUCCAUUGUCGAAAGGGAAACAGCCCAGAUCGCAAGCUAAGGCCCCUAAGUGAGUGCUAAGUGUUAAACGAGGUGGGGGCGCCCAGACAGCCAGGAGGUUGGCUUAGAAGCAGCCAUCCUUUAAAGAGUGCGUAACAGCUCACUGGUCGAGGGCUCCCGCACGGAAAAUAAACGGGGCUCAAGCACUUCGCCGAAGCUGCGAAAGGCGCGUUCGCGCGCCUUGGUAGGGGAGCGUUCCCAGCCGCGUCGAAGCGUCAUCGUGAGGUGACGUGGAGUGCUGGGAAGUGAGAAUGCUGGCAUGAGUAGCGUCAAUGCCGGUGAGAAUCCGGCACGCCGAAAGUCCAAGGUUUCCUACGCAACGUUGAUCGACGUAGGGUAAGGCGGCCCUAAGGAGUAGCCGAACGGCGAAUCCGAUGGAUAGCUGGUUGAAAUUCCAGCCCCGCCCCAGGACCGAUUGAGACGCAGGAGGGACGCGGAUUGGUAAGCGAUGCAUACCAGUGGAUAUGGUGUGUCGCCACCCGUAGGCCAGGGCCGCGAGUUAAAAUGCGCGGUUCGUUACGAGCAGAGGGGUGGUGGGACCUUAAGGUACGCCUCGAGGAACGUCGCUAAGCCUAUGCCGCCAAGAAAAUCUCCGACGUCGAGGUUCUGUGGCGACCGUACCGCAAACCGACACUGGUGGACAGGGGUAAAAGCCCUAAGGCGUUCGAGAUAACCAUCGUUAAGGAACUCGGCAAAUUAACCCCGUAACUUCGGGAUAAGGGGUGCCGAUGGCGUAUACGCGUUAACCGCGAAAAGCGUUGUCGGCCGCAGAGAACCGGCUCAAGCGACUGUUUACCAAAAACACAGGUCUGUGCCAAAGCGAAAGCUGAUGUAUACAGGCUGACGCCUGCCCAGUGCUGGUAGGUUAAGGAAGGGGGUGAGAGCCUCCGACCGAAGCCCCGGUAAACGGCGGCCGUAACUAUAACGGUCCUAAGGUAGCGAAGUCCCUUGUCGGGUAAGUUCCGACCCGCACGAAUGGCGUAACGACUUGAGCACUGUCUCAACGAUGGACUCGGUGAAAUUGCAGGACCCGUAAAGAUGCGGGUUACGCGCGGCAGGACAAAUAGACCCCGUGGAGCUUUACUGCAGCUUGACAUUGGUUUGAGCUCAGGGAUGUGUAGUAAUAGGCGGGAGACUUCGAAGCGCAGGCGCCAGCCUGUGUGGAGUCAACCAUGAAAGACCGCCCUUUUCUGCGUUUGAAUCUAACCGUUUCUGGAACAGUGUCUGGUAGGCAGUUUGACUGGGGCGGUCGCCUCCUAAAAGGUAACGGAGGCGCACAAAGGUCACCUCAGGCUGGAUGGAAAUCAGCCUCAGAGUGUAUUGGCAUAAGGGGGCUUGACUGCGAGACCAACAAGUCGAGCAGGGACGAAAGUCGGUCAAAGUGAUCCUACGGUUCAGUGUGGAAGGGCCGUAGCUUAACGGAUAAAAGCUACCCCGGGGAUAACAGGCUAAUCUCCCCCAAGAGAUCGUAUCGACGGGGAGCUUUGGCACCUCGAUGUCGGCUCGUCGCAUCCUGGGGCUGAAGAAGGUCCCAAGG